rnacentral:rRNA from 1 species
AGGAUGAACGCUGGCGGCGUGCUUAACACAUGCAAGUCGAACGAUGAUCCCAGCUUGCUGGGGGAUUAGUGGCGAACGGGUGAGUAACACGUGAGUAACCUGCCCUUAACUCUGGGAUAAGCCUGGGAAACUGGGUCUAAUACCGGAUAUGACUCCUCAUCGCAUGGGUGGGGGGGUGAAAGCUUUAUUGUGGUUUUGGAUGGACUCGCGGCCUAUCAGCUUGUUGGUGAGGUAAUGGCUCACCAAGGCGACGACGGGUAGCCGGCCUGAGAGGGUGACCGGCCACGACUGGGACUGAGACACGGCCCAGACUCCGUACGGGAGGCAGCAGUGGGGAAUAGUUAGCACAAGUGGGACGAAAGCCGUAGAUGGCAGCCGACCGCCGCGUGGAGGGA